rnacentral:rRNA from 1 species
UACGAAGGGGGCUAGCGUUGCUCGGAAUCACUGGGCGUAAAGCGCACGUAGGCGGCUUUUUAAGUCAGGGGUGAAAUCCUGGAGCUCAACUCCAGAACUGCCUUUGAUACUGAGAAGCUUGAGUCCGGGAGAGGUGAGUGGAACUGCGAGUGUAGAGGUGAAAUUCGUAGAUAUUCGCAAGAACACCAGUGGCGAAGGCGGCUCACUGGCCCGGUACUGACGCUGAGGUGCGAAAGCGUGGGGAGCAGACAGG